AGUGAACGCUGGCGGUAGGCCUAACACAUGCAAGUCGAACGGCAGCACAGUAAGAGCUUGCUCUUACGGGUGGCGAGUGGCGGACGGGUGAGGAAUACAUCGGAAUCUACUUUUUCGUGGGGGAUAACGUAGGGAAAUUUACGCUAAUACCGCAUACGACCUACGGGUGAAAGCAGGGGAUCUUCGGACCUUGCGCGAUUGAAUGAGCCGAUGUCGGAUUAGCUAGUUGGCGGGGUAAAGGCCCACCAAGGCGACGAUCCGUAGCUGGUCUGAGAGGAUGAUCAGCCACACUGGAACUGAGACACGGUCCAGACUCCUACGGGAGGCAGCAGUGGGGAAUAGUGGACAAUGGGCGCAAGCCUGAUCCAGCCAUACCGCGUGGGUGAAGAAGGCCUUCGGGUUGUAAAGCCCUUUUGUUGGGAAAGAAAAGCAGCAGGUUAAUACCCCGCUGUUCUGACGGUACCCAAAGAAUAAGCACCGGCUAACUUCGUG
rnacentral:rRNA from 1 species